AAGUCGUAACAAGGUAACCGUAGGUGAACCUGCGGUUGGAUCAUUAAAAAGAUCUAGCCCGAUUUUGCACCUGGCCUUGAGCUGGUGGAAUGACAGGCUUUUCUCACGUACGUGAGUCAACAUCAUGUGAACUGUUUUGUCUCUGGCGGUGGGAUGGCUCAAAACCGUCUGUCAGCAUCCGAGGUAAUCUCGGUGUGCCGUGGACAAGCCGCCAACGGUGUAUGCUUCAUACAAACUUUUUGUUUCAUUAAAACUGUCUGACCUACUUUUGUAUCUAAAUAAUACAAAAACAA
rnacentral:misc_RNA from 1 species